rnacentral:rRNA from 1 species
GACGAACGCUGGCGGCGUGCUUAACACAUGCAAGUCGAACGGAAAGGCCCUGCUUUUGUGGGGUGCUCGAGUGGCGAACGGGUGAGUAACACGUGAGUAACCUGCCCUUGACUUUGGGAUAACUUCAGGAAACUGGGGCUAAUACCGGAUAGGAGCUCCUGCUGCAUGGUGGGGGUUGGAAAGUUUCGGCGGUUGGGGAUGGACUCGCGGCUGAUCAGCUUGUUGGUGGGGUAGUGGCUUACCAAGGCUUUGACGGGUAGCCGGCGUGGGGGGGUGACCGGCACCAUUGGUCGAGAACUGCGGCCGACCCUCCACCGGGGGCGGGAGGGGGGAAUUUUGCCAGAGGGGCGGGAGCCGGUAGCCCGCACCCCCGGGGGGGGAGGGCCGUCUUUCGGUUUGCACCCCUCUUCCCCUGGUAACGAGGGGGGAGUGAGGGUAGUGGAAAAAAAAGCCCCGACUAACUCCGUC